UGAACAACCAGCGUGACAAAACAUUUACACAUUCACGUUCAUUUUGGAGAAUACUGAACGCUUUUUUUUAGCGCCACUUACUGGACAGUGCGAUUUGAAAGAAACUUGCGAGAAGCAACGUAAUCGUUUUGUAUUAAUGUCAUCGCAGUCAUGUGUUUCUAGUGAGCCUGGAUUGAAAAAAACAAAACAAAAAACACACAGAUGAAUAUUGAUAUUAAUCAACGCCGUAUUUAACACAAAAGGAGAUCUAACGUUGUAUUUUCCACACAAGAGAAGUGUUUCCAAAGCAUUUUCGUGCGUUGAGUUUCUGCUGUUGCAUCGGUUGCGCUUCAGCUGCACAUCAACGCGGCAGGUCUCGGGUGAGCUGUUUCUUUUAAAGCUGCUAUCGCUGCAUUCACACGCUGUCCUGCGGUAGAGAUUGUACUGCCUAUCUGUUAGCGUUUGCUUUUCGGAGAUAUUUGACUCUUAAUACACCGUGCUGUAAUGUGUGUUGUGCUGAGGACAUCACGAAAGUUUCUACACCUGUGAUAUGACAUCUGACCCCUGCCCUUUGCCCCUGCAGUCUGAGACAGUGUAACACUGGAAUGCUUCUGGCUUAGGGUGACCCACGGCUCCAAGACUGCCACAAAGCACAACCUCUCCAAAAUCCACCCCUGAUGAAGACAAAGAUGAGGAGGAGGAAGAUGAUGGAGGAUUGAGAGAAAUCAGAAACCCUUUAUCAACCUGAGUGCCAUUCCUCAGCCUUACCCACAAUCCCCUUCUACUGACUCGACACUGAUUUUACAGUCAGAUGUCUCGCCAACAAUGAAAAACAAAUUAGGAAAGCCUUGAAAUAGCCCUGCAUGCUUGAUGAUGCAGUCCAGACAAUAAAAGGAAUUCAAAACGGAACUUCCACCAGAUAUUUCCAGACCACAUGGACUCUUUCUGUCUCUCUGACGGCCCUCCGGUUCUCGUACCAGAUGCUGUUUUAUUGUACUUCACAUUAGCCCAGCGUUUUAUAAAUGGUGGUUGGGAGGCUCUAGCCAGAUGGGGUGAAGAAAGACAACAGCAUUCAAAUUCUUUCAGAACAGCGUCUUGUGUAUAUUGUGUACAGGAUAUGACUACAGGCUUAUUCUUAGCAAUGUGAAGACACCAUGUUUGUACAUAGUUCACAAAUUGUACAUUUCCUGCAUUGUCUUUGUCGGUUACGCCGUUACAACAUUUAUUCAACAUUUUUAUCUGUACAGACGUAAAGGUUGACAUUGAUCUCAGAGUAUUUGUAUUCUGUACACAUCCAUUUAAACCAUAUAGACCCCCUCUAAAGACAACUCAAAUGUUAUUGCUUGUUAAGGAGACAUUUAUAGAGUGAUCUAGACCUAGUUAAACCCUAAUGCCGGAUUGAGUGACUACGC